GGUCGCCGGCGCUGCUGCGCUGCAGCGUGUCACGAGUCAACAUGCAGCCCAGGAAGUCUUUCAACACCGGAGACACCUGAACACAGGAGGGUACGACAUCAUCCGUGUGACACCGACUUCUGCCGGGCUGAAAAGGAUCACUGUGCUAACUGCUUCUUCAUGGCAGUGAUUGGUGUGUCGCUGAAAUAUGGCGGCUCACCAUCCACCAUCUCCACCACCAUGAUGCCCACAGACCAGAUGUCCACCUGAAGGACACAAGAGGAUCAGGACCUGGAUGUGUCCUUGUUGUUACCUCAGUACCAUAUGGUGUUUUGGAGAUCACCUCAGGAGCCAUCCAGUACGGCGUCCCAACCAGAGACUUCCUCUUUGGGACAUCUUUACUGACCUGAGCGCAGAAACCAAAGUCUGACAGUUUUAUCUGCAGCAGGACGGAAGAAGCAGAAAAGGAGGGAUUCAGUGUCAGCAAGAUGGAGUCACUCUUUAUGUCUCUGUGAAUGACGCCCUGAGAGUGAAGGUAGGACAGCGCCUGCAGGACGCCUUCACACACCGUCGCCAUCUGUUCCUCAUUCAACCUGAGACACGCAGAAACACCAUGAAACCACAAAGACCUGAGAAAAUCUACCAGACAAACAGAGCACUGCGGUACAUCUCCACCACGUUCUGGUGCUGGUAGUCCCGCAUGAUCACCACCUGAGACCAAACACAGGGACAGGUCCAUCAUUUUCACAGCCACCUGUCGCCCACUGUGCCUUUCUCGGGCGAUGCAGACCACACCUGUGGACCCCUCCCCGAUCUUCACAAAGUUCUCCAGAGUCAUCCUCGGGUCACCCGGGUCCACCACCAUCUGCAGC